GACGAACGCUGGCGGCGUGCUUAACACAUGCAAGUCGAACGGAAAGGCCCCUUUGGGGGUCCUCGGGUGGCGAACGGGUGAGUAACACGUGAGUAACCUGCCCUUGACUUCGGGAUAACGUCGGUAAACUGGGGCUAAUACCGGGGAGGAAUCCUUUCUCCAUGGUGGGGGUUGGAAAGCUUCGGUUGUUUUGGGUUGGCUUGCGGCUUAUCAGCUUGGUCGAGGUGUAGUGGGUUAGCAAGGCUUUGACGGCUAGCCGGCCUGAGAGGGCGACCGGCCACAGUGGGACUGGGACUCGGCCACGACUCCGACGGGUGGCGGCAGCGGCGAUGAGUGAAAAAGGGGCGGAAGCGUGAUGCAGCACCGCCGCGGCCGCGAGGACGGCGUUCGCGUUGUAGACGGAAUUCAGCAGGGGCGAAGAUUGUGGUGACGGUACCUGCAGAAGAAGCACCGGCUAACUACGUG
rnacentral:rRNA from 1 species